rnacentral:rRNA from 1 species
UCCUACGGGAGGCAGCAGUGAGGAAUAUUGGUCAAUGGAGGCAACUCUGAACCAGCCAUGCCGCGUGCAGGAUGACGGUCCUAUGGAUUGUAAACUGCUUUUGUACGGGAAGAAAUGUAUUUACGUGUAGAUAUUUGACGGUACCGUAAGAAUAAGGAUCGGCUAACUCCGUGCCAGCAGCCGCGGUAAUA